UUAAAUUGAAGAGUUUGAUCAUGGCUCAGAUUGAACGCUGGCGGCAGGCCUAACACAUGCAAGUCGAGCGGUAGCACAGAGAGCUUGCUCUCGGGUGACGAGCGGCGGACGGGUGAGUAAUGUCUGGGA
rnacentral:rRNA from 2 species